rnacentral:misc_RNA from 1 species
UUUCCGUAAGUGAACCUGCGGAAGGAUCAUUCAUAAUAAAGUGUUUUAUGGCACUUUUUAAAAAUCCAUAUCCACCUUGUGUGCGAUGUUAGAUCUCGUCAAUCUUGGCGAGAUUUUUAUACAUCAACUCAUUCUUUAACUAAUUUGUCUGAAAGAUAUUAUGAAUACUUAAUUCAAAAUACAACUUUCAACAACGGAUCUCUUGGCUCUC